UGUAGGUGGGCAUCAUUCAAUCUGUUGAGGGCCUGAACAAAACAAAAGGUGAGGAAGGAGGAGUUUGCACAUUUUCCUGCCUCGCUGCUGGAGCUGUGACUCAUUUCAUCUUCUCCUGCCUGUGGACUGGUUUUACACCAGGGGCUCCUCUGGUUCUCAGACCUUUGCACUUGGACUGAGUUGUACCUCUGGCUUUCCUGGGUCUCAAGUUUACAGAUGGCAGAUCAUAGGACUUCUCCGUCUCCAUAAUUGCGUGAGCCAAUUCCUCAAAAUAAAUCAUCUUUUAUACGACAAGAAAGGUGAAGAGUUGAGACCUAAUGGAUCUUUUGCACUGUCUGGACUCAAGUUCCUUAGAAUCUCAAGGCUCGAUAUUAGUAAAAAGAGGAAGCAGAGGAUGCUGGAGCCAACUCCUUUGGAAGUACAGCAGCAGUUACAAUGUCUAUGAGAAACUGCUACAGUCAUAUCUCAGACUCAUCAAAAUGAAGCCAUAGAAGAAGGGAGGCCAGAACACAUGAGAAUCAAAGACUUCUCUGGUAAAUUC
rnacentral:lncRNA from 1 species